rnacentral:rRNA from 1 species
GUGGGGAAUAUUGGACAAUGGGCGAAAGCCUGAUCCAGCCAUGCCGCGUGUGUGAAGAAGGUCUUCGGAUUGUAAAGCACUUUAAGUUGGGAGGAAGGGCAGUAAGUUAAUACCUUGCUGUUUUGACGUUACCGACAGAAUAAGCACCGGCUAACUUCGUGCCAGCAGCCGCGGUAAUACGAAGGGUGCAAGCGUUAAUCGGAAUUACUAGGCGUAAAGCGCGCGUAGGUGGUUUUGUAAGUUGGAGGUGAAAUCCCCGGGCUCAACCUGGGAACUGCCUCCAAAACUGCAUGACUAGAGUACGGUAGAGGGUAGUGGAAUUUCCUGUGUAGCGGUGAAAUGCGUAGAUAUAGGAAGGAACACCAGUGGCGAAGGCGACUACCUGGACUGAUACUGACACUGAGGUGCGAAAGCGUGGGGAGCAAACAGGAUUAGAAACCCUAGUAGUCC